AUUGAACGCUGGCGGCAUGCCUUACACAUGCGAGUCGAACGGCAGCACGGGUGCUUGCACCUGGUGGCGAGUGGCGAACGGGUGAGUAAUACAUCGGAACAUGUCCUGUAGUGGGGGAUAGCCCGGCGAAAGCCGGAUUAAUACCGCAUACGAUCUACGGAUGAAAGCGGGGGACCUUCGGGCCUCGCGCUAUAGGGUUGGCCGAUGGCUGAUUAGCUAGUUGGUGGGGUAAAGGCCUACCAAGGCGACGAUCAGUAGCUGGUCUGAGAGGACGACCAGCCACACUGGGACUGAGACACGGCCCAGACUCCUACGGGAGGCAGCAGUGGGGAAUUUUGGACAAUGGGCGAAAGCCUGAUCCAGCAAUGCCGCGUGUGUGAAGAAGGCCUUCGGGUUGUAAAGCACUUUUGUCCGGAAAGAAAUACUUGGCCCUAAUACGGUCGGGGGAUGACGGUACCGGAAGAAUAAGCACCGGCUAACUACGUG
rnacentral:rRNA from 1 species